GUUUUACCUCGCAAAAUAUUAAAACACACCCAGUGGGACUCGAACCCACAAUCGCUUGAUUAGAAGUCAAGCGCCUUAUCCAUUAGGCCAUGGGUGCUUGUUGUCUUAGUUUCUCCACACAAUAUUUGAACGUCUCUCUAUAUUGCUCUAUUUGAAAGCAAAACGGAUCUAAACGCGGGAAAAAGCCAGAGAGAGAUCCCUAAGAGCACCCGCAACCGUGGAUUUUGAUCAAUCCUUAGACCAAAUCCGUAGGAUUAGUGUAAUAAAAAAAUAAUAUUUAUGCUUAAUGGAGGAAGGACUGGGCCGUCGCGACGGUUUAGACGGAUCGAAUCCUUAGGCACGUGUCUUCUUCUGAGUGGGUGCGUGGGCUAUGCGUUUGGGUGGAGUCGAAAAAAAAAAUCAUUUUCCAUCGAAACCGAAAAAAAAAGAAGUUAAGGAGAGAAAGGCGAUUUACAGGCGAUCUCUCUCGAUCUCGCUCCCUCGGCUCCAGUUAAGGUAAAUCGAAGCUUUAACUCCUAGAUUUCUUGAUUAAGAUCACUCUUCAUGUUCUCUGUUCUCUAUUAAGGGUUUGGUUGUGUGGUUUCAACCGAAUUUAGUUAAAUUGAGAAAUUAGGGUUUGGAAAAAUUUUGGGGAUAAAUCGUUAUUUCUUGUUUAUGGAUUGUAUCGGUCUCGGAUAUCCUCUUUGUGUCUAUACGGAUUGAAACAGAUUGUAGUUUCAAUCGAUUUGCCGUUUCUUAACUGUUUUCAGUUGAAACAUUUUAAGUGAUAUUGUUAUCUUAUAUGUGUUCGAAUUCACUUUGUUGAUAUUGUUUUCGUUCCUUCUCGUUGGUUUGCUUCCUUCUCGUUAAUUUGCUUUAACUCUGUUAGUGGUUGUUUAACUCUGUCUGUUUUCAAUUUCUUUUCAGGUUUACGAUAAUGGGACAAUACAGUUACAGCCAGCCAUCUUCAUCAUCAAACUCUCAAGACUUAAACUCCCUCCUUCAAGCCGAAGCAGAGAUGUACGCGGCUGAAGCUGAGAUAAGUCAGUGGAAUGCAGAGGCCAUUCACAACGAACCAUCACCAGAGGGUGAUGAUGGAAUCCCCAGGACAUGCUACUGUGGGUCGGAGCCUGUUCACGGUUAUUCCCAAACUCCUAAAGAUCCAUACCGACGGUACAUUACGUGCCCCAAUGCUGAUGAUGGAGACUGCCACGUCUGGAAAUGGUGGGACGUGGCGGUCGAGGAGGAGAUGAGGGACAUUCAGACGGAGCUUAGUGAGCUUAAGGGUGAAGCCAAUGAGCGUGAGCAGAAGCUGCUCAUCCUUGAGAAAAGAAUAGGCGAGUUUACAAAGAAGAAAUCAGGAGCUAAGCUAAUGGUCUUUACCAUAGUUUUAGUAGGGUUGGUGUUACUUAUAAAUGUGCUAGGUUAGUUUCUUUAAUUGUUUCAUCUCUUUUAGUUAUCAAAUUUGAUAGUUUGAGAAAGUUGAUUGUUUGUUCUUCUUUUUCAGGAAAAAUUGGGAAGGAUUCAAAGGAGUGGGGCGUACCAUCUUUGUUUCUUUAACGAGGUAAUUUUUUAACUUUCUGGUGUUUUAACUAUUGAAAACAAUUAGUGGUGUUUUAGAAACCGGAAGGAAAAAUAGCUGCAAAACUUAAGUUGAUAGUAGCUACGGUUGCGGGUUUACUUAGUCAAAGAGUUAAUGAAACUCAAUUGCUUUCCACCCUAUGAGCUGGUUUGAUUUGAUGUGCUUUUAUUGGUGUAGAAUAGUUAAAAAACUUAAGUUGCUAGUAGCUACCAUUGUACUUUACUUAGUAGAAUAGUUAAUGAAACUCAACUGCUGUGAUCUGAUUGCUUUUAAUAAGUUAAGUGAUAGAAGGCUUAUUAAUAAGCCCUCUGUGUCGCUAGUAGAGUGUCACAGAGAAACAAUUGAAACCAUGGCUAAUAACUCACAAAGUUUUACUAGAUUUCUCCUUAGUCAAAAUACAGUUGACCUUGAUUCACCAGAACCUUUUUGGUUCGGUAGUCAAGGUCCUGAUGAGUCUGGUAGCGAGGUUCCUGUUGCGUCUCCUGUGCUGUCUGGUACCGACGUUGGUGCUAAGUCUGGUGUGAAUUCUAACCCCUCUGAGAAGAGUAAAUGGACACUAGCAGAGGAUAAAAUCCUUAUAGGUGCUUGGCUAAACACCAGUAAGGACCCUGUGGUGAGCAACGAGCAGAAAGCCGGUGCUUUCUGGUUCCGUAUAGUAGAGUACUACAACGCCAGUCCCCUCCUCGCUGGGACAAUACGGAGAGAACUAAUGUCUUGCAAGCAGAGGUGGGCAAGGAUAAACGGCGACGUUGCCAAGUUUGCUGGCUCCUAUGAUGCGGCUCUGAGGGAGCAGAGAAGUGGGCAAAACGAUGAUGAUGUGAUGAAAACGGCGUUAGACAUUUUCUUCAAAACGGUCGGCUACAAGUUCACCAUGGAUCACUGCUGGAGGGAGCUGAGGCACGACCAGAAAUGGUGCUCCUUAUAUCCGGCAAAGGAGAAGCGCAAACAAGCUGUGGAGGUGGAUACAGAAGAAGAGCAGUUUGUCGAUCCAGAGGUUAGACCACCCGGGGUAAAGGCUGCGAAAGCUGGUAAGAAGAAGAAGAGUGGCAGGGAGGAGGAGUUGUCGCAGCUACAGGGGGUUUUAGAAAUUAAACAAAAACUGUCAAAACAGAAGCUUCUUGAUCGUUUACUCGCAAAAACAGAACCUCUCUCUGAAAUGGAAACCAGUCUUAAGCUCAAACUAAUGUCAGAAAUGUUAUGAUCUUUUAUUAAUCUUGCUUUUUAGGUAUUAUAACUAUUUUGUGUACUUGAUCACUCUGUUAUUUGAUCCAAAUUGAUAUUUUUAAAAAUGCUUACUAACUCUUGUCACUCUGUUUUGACAGGUUGACGCAUGUGGGAAGGAGUCACGGGUGCAUUUGGUCUGUAGCUCUUGUGGGAAGGAGUCACGGGUGUUGCAGGAGUCACGGGUGUUGUAGGAGUCACGGAUGACUCUGUUUCCUUUAGUAUAAGUAGUAGUGUUGUAGUUGUCUCUGAGAGUUUGUAUUAAUCAACUCUCUUUGUUUUCCUCGGAGCUGUUCUAAUCAAGUUGUUCUUAUCUACCACUGCACUGAAGUUUAGGUAAUUUAUUCUAUUUGUUUUCAAACUUGGAAAAAAACGUGUAUCCUCUAUAUUUGAAUGAUUGUCUGAUCCCUUCUAGUAUUUGCUUGUUCGGACCAUAGCUAGUUUUCUCCAUAUAUAUGCACUGUUUUUAUUUCUUGAUGUCCAAGCCGUGACUUGCUCAAGAUAAGAGAAAAUUAAUGGAUGACAAACAUAUAAUAGUUAGAAAUUCAGUUAAUAAAUAUGGUCUUAAGAAUUUGGGUUGUAGUCUUACUUUAAAUUAUUAUUUGCGUAUAGCAUAAAUUUGAUUACGAGUCAAACUAAACCAAUGUUGAACUUUAAUGUGGAGUAAACCAAUGAAACCAAUGUUGAAAUUUAAUGAAAUUUGAUUACGAGUCAAACUAAACCAAUGUUGAAAUUUAAUUAAAAAUAUUUUUACUUCCCUUAAAAGUUUGGUUAAAAAUAUUAAAAAAUAUUUAUUUAUGUAACAUUACCCUUUUGUUUAAAAAAAUAUUUUGGUUAAAACUAUAAUAAAAAUGUCUAUCCAAUCUUAUUUGUUUAAGAUAAUUAUUUUCUAGAAAUGUCAUCAUCUUCAUCCGAUGAAGUCGAUGCAAGAUUGGACGAAAUUUGUGAUGAAUACAUGGAAGAAAUAUAUAGCGUCAUAGUGGAGACCCAAACCACACCACAAAGGACACGUCAGUAUGUUGAACGACACUGCGAAGGAGGACAAGACCAAUUAUGGAAUGACUAUUUCAGCGAAGAUCCGACAUUCUCGACUGCAAUUUUCAGACGCCGUUUCCGCAUGAAUAAGAAUUUAUUCUUGCGUCUUGUUCAUGGCCUAGAAGAGUAUUUUCCAUUCUUUCAGCAAAGAAGAGAUGCAACCGGGAGAUGGAGUCUUACGGCACUACAAAAAUGUACUGCUGCUAUUCGCCUGCUUGCUUAUGGUAAUGCGGCUGACACCGUUGAUGAAUAUCUCCGACUUGCUGAGACCACUGCACUUUCGUGUUUACAUAAUUUCACAGACGGAAUUAUACAAUUAUUCGGAAAUGAGUAUCUACGACGACCCACACCGGAGGAUCUCCAACGGCUACUAACGAUGGUUUCCUGGGAUGGUCGGGAGCAUUGAUUGUAUGCAUUGGGAGUGGAAAAACUGCCCAACCGCUUGGAAAGGACAAUAUGCACGUGGAUCAGGAAAACCGACAAUUGUCUUAGAGGCGGUAGCUUCCCACGAUCUUUGGAUAUGGCACGCCUUUUUUGGUCCUCCAGGUACCUUAAACGAUAUUAAUGUCCUCGAUCGAUCUCCUGUUUUUGAUGACAUUUUACAAGGUCGAGCUCCGAGGGUAAAGUACAUGGUCAACGGACACACGUAUAAGUUGGCGUACUACCUCACAGACGGUAUAUAUCCAAAAUGGUCGACAUUUAUCCAAUCUAUCACACUCCCACAAACUCCUCAACAUGAGUUAUUUGCUAAAGUUCAAGAAGCAACCCGAAAAGAUGUGGAGCAGGCUUUUGGAGUUUUGCAAUCUCGAUUUGCAAUUGUUAGAAAUCCGGUUAAAACAUUGAACAAAGAAAAAAUAGGGAAGAUUAUGAGAGCAUGUAUCAUACUCCACAAUAUGAUAGUCGAAGAUGAACGGGAUGGAUACUCUCGUAUUGAUAUAUCUGAAUUUGAAGAAGGAGACGCCUCCAGAUGUUCAGAGGUGGAAACCGAGAUGCCAACAAAUCUGAACAAUAUCUUUCCCACUCGGAAUGAUCUUCGUGAUAGGCAAACACAUGAAUGAUUGAAGAAUGAUUUAAUCCAAAAUAUUUGGAAUAAAUUUGGUGAUGAAGAUUAACAAUUAUUCUAUAUUUAUGUAAAAUUUUUGUUUUUAUGUUUAAUUAAUGUAUUUUCUGUUUAAUUAUUGUUUUAAUGUAAAUUUAUUGUAUUUUUAUGUUAAGUUAUGGAUUAAUUAAUGUAUUAAUUAAUGUAUUUUAUGUUUAAUUAAUGUAUUUUAUGUUUAUUUAUAUUUCACUAAAAAUAUAUUUUUUUUUCUAAGGAUUCUAAUUUCAAGAUCACCAUUGUACACACAUUUUUAACAAGAGUCCUUAACUAUUUAAAAAAAAUAAAAAAUUAUUACUAUAAUAAUCCUAUGGACUCCACAAUGGGUGCCACCAUUGUGGAUGCUCUAAACCCCAGGGGCGAAUCUAGACUAAUUUAAUACUGGGUGCAUCACUAAUGAAAAGUAAGAAUACAUGUAAAAGAGAGCACUGAACUUGAAAAAACAUUGUGGGUGCACAUGUAGCAUUUUACCAUUUUACCUAGGAAAGUUUUGUAAUUUUAGGUAUAAAUUUACAAAUUAUAAUAUUUUACUGGGUGCACAGGCUCCCAUAGUUGAUUGACUGCCUUCGCCCCUGCUAAACCCUGAUUCCCAUCAAAGUAUCUCUCAUCUUCUUCCUACCUCACAUGGCAUCAUCAAUCUCUCCCAGGGCCAGCUCAAGUAAAUUAUGGGCACUUAGGCAAAAUAGUUUUUCAAAAAAAAAUUUACAUAUACUCUAUGGAUAACUUAAAAAUUCUGGACCCCUUUUAAUUUUUUUUAAGAAAAUCAAACCCCAUUUUAACACUAAUAAUGCAAAAAACAAUUUGGGCCCUGGGCCCACACCCCUUUGCCUCUAUGCCUCAGCCGGCCCACUCUAACUCAACUUCGCUUCUCCUCCAGCGCCCAAAACUUGGAACUUACUAUAUGUUUGUAGCCCUGUCAAUUUCUAGUUCUUGAUUUGCGAUGGAAGUUCCACGCCGCUCUUUGGCUGCGUAUCUGUCUCCUCUCCGCCUGAUCGAUCGUCGGAAGAGUUUUAGUUAUAAUCAGUUGCCUGAUGAGCCGAUCAAACUCACUGUUCUCAAGCUCGAUGGUUCUUCCUUUGGUACAGUAACCUAAUCUUCGCUUGCUUGUUUCUUACGCUUCUACUAAGAGUUGGCUCUACAACUAAUUUCGAGGUUUUUAUAAUAUCUGAUAUUAUCAUAAGGUAUUGAAGACAGCUACAGUAAGGGAGCUCAAGAUGGCUGUAGAAGCUGUGUUUUCUCACUUGCCCAUCACAUCCCUUGGCAAUAAUAUCUCAUGGUACCAUUCAUUUUCUUGAUUUUUGAGUUUACUUAUCUUUAUGUGAUUCUUGAUGAUCCUACUCUUACCCUCGUGAGUAUGAAGGCCGCAUGUUUGGGCACAGUUAUGCGUAUCCUAUGAAGAUCAAAGAUUGAUUAACGACUCUGACUACCUCACUGACUUCCACAUUAAAGACGGUGAUCAGCUUCGAUUCAUCCGCUAUAUAUCAAACCACUGCAUCUUGAUGAAGACGCACAAGAGCAAGACACCAGGCGUUUCUUCUUUGAAACAACUCAAACUACCAUCUAGGUUGUCAAUCAAAAUCCAAACCUGGAAAAAGAAG